GUUGAACGCUGGCGGCAUGCCUUACACAUGCAAGUCGAACGGUAACAGGUCUUCGGAUGCUGACGAGUGGCGAACGGGUGAGUAAUACAUCGGAACGUGCCCGAUCGUGGGGGAUAACGGAGCGAAUGCUUUGCUAAUACCGCAUACGAUCUACGGAUGAAAGCAGGGGACCGCAAGGCCUUGCGCGGACGGAGCGGCCGAUGGCAGAUUAGGUAGUUGGUGGGAUAAAAGCUUACCAAGCCGACGAUCUGUAGCGGGUAUGAGAGGACGACCAGCCACACUGGGACUGAGACACGGCCCAGACUCCUACGGGAGGCAGCAGAGGGGAAUUUUGGACAAUGGGCGAAAGCCUGAUCCAGCCAUGCCGCGUGCAGGAUGAAGGCCUUCGGGUUGUAAACUGCUUUUGUACGGAACGAAAAGCCUCUUUCUAAUAAAGAGAGGUCAUGACGGUACCGUAAGAAUAAGCACCGGCUAACUACGUGCCAGCCGCCGCCGUAAAAC
rnacentral:rRNA from 1 species